rnacentral:rRNA from 1 species
CCUACGGGAGGCAGCAGUGAGGAAUAUUGGUCAAUGGGCGUAAGCCUGAACCAGCCAUGUCGCGUGAGUGAUGAAGGUUCUAUGGAUCUUAAACCUCUUUUAUAAGGGAAUAAAGUGCGGGACGUGUCCCGUUUUGUAUGUACCUUAUGAAUAAGGAUCGGCUAACUCCGCGCCAGCAGCCGCGGUAAUACGGAGGAUCCGAUGGUUACCCGGAUUUAUUGGGUUUAACGGGUAAGUAGGCGGGCUUUUAAGUCAGCGGGGAAAGUCUGUGGCUCAACCAUAGAAUUGCCGUUGAUACUGGGCAGCUUGAGUAUGGUUGAGGCAGGCAGAAUGCGUGGUGUAGCGGUGAAAUGCUUAGAUAUCACGCAGAACCCCGAUUGCGAAGGCAGCCUGCCAGGCCAUGACUGACGCUGAUGCACGAAAGCGUGGGGAUCAAACAGGAUUAGAUACCCCUGUAGUC